rnacentral:rRNA from 1 species
AUUGCAGGCUGCAACUCGCCUGCAUGAAGUCGGAAUUGCUAGUAAUCGUAGGUCAGCACACUACGGUGAAUACGUUCCCGGGCCUUGUACACACCGCCCGUCAAACCAUGAGAGUUGGGAAUACCCGAAGCCUGUGAGCUAACGAAAGAGGCAGCAGUCGAAGGUAGAAUCAAUGAUUGGGGUGAAGUCGUAACAAGGUACC